rnacentral:lncRNA from 1 species
GAAUGCUGUGGGCCUGUAGAGGCUGGAAAGUCAAGGAAACAUACUUUUUUCCCCUGGAACCUCCAGAAGGAGCCAAGGCUUCCAACAACUUCAUUUUAGUUUUUGAACCCCACUUGGGAGAACACUGCUCUAAAUAAUUACUAAGUGGGAUAAUAAGUGUAACAAGUGGAAUAUUAAAGUGGAGGAAUGGUAGAGGCAUUGCAGAUGGCAGCACAGACAGUAUAAACCACAAACUGGAGAUCACUGGCCAAGCGGACCCAGUCCGAACUUCUCAACAUGAAAUUUCUGGAAUAAUGCUCACCUAAGAUUAACAGCAGUCGUUUCCGGAAGCCAACCAUCAACAGCCAGGACUACUGCCUGCUGAAGCUCCCGAAGCUCAUGAUACAGGGAGAGCAGAAGGCUGGAAACACAGCUGUGAUUAGCAAGCUGAUAGAUGAAGCAAGGCUGGAAGCAGGCGCUAUCUCCUGUGGUUAUCUUCCCAUUUAACACUUCAAAACACUUCUCCAGCACCUCAAUGUUCCAGAUAGUUCAUUCUAAAAACGACUCAAGAUGACAUGACAUGGGUCAGAGCUGCAGUCAAUCCUCAAAGGACACGUGACAUAAGUAUGAAAUAAGCCUUUUUUGUUCUAAGCCACUGAGGUUUAGGAUCAUGUUUACCAAAGCAAAACCAAGCUAAAAAUUAAUGGUAAUCUUAAGUAUUCUGGGAAUAAGCAGAAAUAUAUUUUUAAAAGAAGAAAAUAAAACUUUGUAUUACUAAGUAAGAGGCAGAGCACUGACGACAAAAUCUCAACUCCUUACACAAACCGGUCCUAACCUCCCUCUUUCCCUUCAUCUCCUACAGCAGGAACCUUUCUCCCCAUACUCUGGCUAACCUGGUCUUCAUCAUCAUUUAUUUUCCUUGAACACUUCCAGCUUGCUCUCUUCUCAGGAUUUUUGAACGUGCAGUUCCCUCAGACUGGAAUACUAUUCCUCCAGAGCUCAUGGCUGGCUCCUUCCUAGUUUUUAGAACUCAGCACAAAUGUCAGGGAAACCCUGAUCAGUUAUUCAAGGCUAUAAUCUCCUUCCCACCCUCCACCUGGCAAAGGCUAUAAAGGUACCAUCUUUUCUUCUUCAUAAGUCAC